GCUUGUCUCAAAGAUUAAGCCAUGCAUGUCUAAGUAUAAACAACUUUGUACUGUGAAACUGCGAAUGGCUCAUUAAAUCAGUUAUAGUUUAUUUGAUAGUACCUUACUACUUGGAUAACCGUAGUAAUUCUAGAGCUAAUACAUGCGAAAAGACCCGACUUUUUGGAAGGGUUGCAUUUAUUAGAUACAAAACCAAUGGCCAGCAAUGGUCACCCUUGGUGAUUCAUAAUAACUUUUGCGGAUCGCAUGGCCUUGCGCCGGCGACGAAUCAUUCAAAUUUCUGCCCUAUCAACUUUCGAUGGUAAGGUAUUGGCCUACCAUGGUUACAACGGGUAACGGGGAAUUAGGGUUCGGUUCCGGAGAGGGCGCCUGAGAAAUGGCGACCACAUCCAAGGAAGGCAGCAGG
rnacentral:rRNA from 1 species